GGACUACCCGGGUAUCUAAUCCUGUUUGCUCCCCUAGCUUUCGUUCCUCAGCGUCAGUUAUGGUCCAGCGCGCCGCUUUCGCCACGGGUGUUCCUGCAGAUAUCUACGCAUUUCACCGCUACACCUGCAAUUCCACGCGCCUCUCCCAUACUCAAGCACAGCAGUUUUGGAAGCAGCCUCUGAGUUAAGCCCAGAGAUUUCACUCCCAACUUGCCACACCGCCUACGAACCCUUUACACCCAGUAAUUCCGAACAACGCUGGCCCCCUACGUCUUACCGCGGCGGCUGGCAC
rnacentral:rRNA from 1 species